AGGAGGAAGAAGAGGAAGAGGUGGAGGAAGAUGAGGAUGCGGAGGAGGAAGCAGAGCAGGAGAAGCAGCAGUUCAGCAGCCAGCUGUGCCCAGGCCCGGAAGCGCUGCAGCAGGUGGCGCUGCAGCAGGACGAUGGCAGGUCCUGUCAGGCCCAGUUGGUGGCCACCGCACAGACCCAUGGUGAGGAGCCCACGGCAGGGCCCAGGGGCACCUGGGACGUUGCCGCUUCAGCCACAGACGGUGAUCCUCCAGAGCGGAGCCCUGCUCACCCUGAGGAGCCCCCAGGAGAAGAGGCCCGGGCGGGGUCCUCCCCACAACCCCAGCUGCCUGAGAGUGAGAACACCAUCAGGGCCCAGGCUUCGUUCUUCAUCCCUUUGUGGGGUUUUUCUACCUCACUGAGGAAAAGGACACCAUGCACCUUAAUUUGAUUGAAAGUCUUUCUGGAGAAGUGGGGCCAGGGCUCUGCCCCCACUGUUCCCCAUUCAGUCCCUGCCUCCCUGUCCCUACUCUCCUCCCCCCUCCCUGUUACCUACCCCUUUAGGAGCAAGGGAAAUGCCACAAAUUUCCAGCUCAGUGGUUCCGCUGCCUACCUCCCAGGCUCAGGGACAAAGUUUGAUCUCCUGUAUGUACAGAUAUUCCCCAACAUAAACAAAAAUGUUCAGAAAUGUUUUAAAUAAAAAUUAGAAAA